AGCUUUGCGCAGUGGCGGUAUCGUAGCUGAUGAGGUUUAUCCGAGGCGCGAUUAUUGCUAGUUGAAAACUAUUACCAAUACCCCGCCCUGUCGACGUGAAAAACCGUCGACUGUGGCAAUUUCUGAUGGGUUUUCCGGAAC
ensembl:snRNA U4 U4 spliceosomal RNA